rnacentral:RNase_P_RNA from 1 species
CUGGAAGGGCGGAGAAUCGCUCUCCUUCGGGAGGGAGGAAAGUCCGAACUCCAUAGGGCGUGAUGCCGCGUAACUCAGCCUUCGCUGGUUGAGAUACACGCGGGCGGUGACGGCGCGAGUCGUCCCGACGGAAAGUGCCACAGAGAAGAUACCGCCAUCGGUGCUCGUUCGGGCCGAUGGUAAGGGUGAAAAGGUGGGGUAAGAGCCCACCGCGCGAAGCGCAAGCGACGCGGCACGGAAAACCCCAUCAGGUGCAAGGCCAAAUAGGAAACCGAGGAGCGGCCCGCUCCGCGCCCCGUGAAAGCGGGACAGGUUUCGGGUAUGGCUGCUCAGACAAAUGAUUCUCUCCGGCUCGCAAGAGUUGCAGACAGAAUUCGGCUUACAGCCCUUUCAGAACC